rnacentral:rRNA from 1 species
AGAAAGCUUGCUUUCUUGCUGACGAGUGGCGGACGGGUGAGUAAUGCUUGGGAAUCUGGCUUAUGGAGGGGGAUAACGACGGGAAACUGUCGCUAAUACCGCGUAGUGUCGAGAGACGAAAGUGCGGGACUGAGAGGCCGCAUGCCAUAGGAUGAGCCCAAGUGGGAUUAGGUAGUUGGUGGGGUAAAGGCCUACCAAGCCUGCGAUCUCUAGCUGGUCCGAGAGGAUGACCAGCCACACUGGAACUGAGACACGGUCCAGACUCCUACGGGAGGCAGCAGUGGGGAAUAUUGCGCAAUGGGGGGAACCCUGACGCAGCCAUGCCGCGUGAAUGAAGAAGGCCUUCGGGUUGUAAAGUUCUUUCGGUAUUGAGGAAGGUUGAUGUGUUAAUAGCACAUCAAAUUGACGUUAAAUACAGAAGAAGCACCGGCUAACUCCGUGCCAGCAGCCGCGGUAAUACGGAGGGUGCGAGCGUUAAUCGGAAUAACUGGGCGUAAAGGGCACGCAGGCGGUUAUUUAAGUGAGGUG